rnacentral:misc_RNA from 1 species
GAUGAAGAACGUAGCGAAAUGCGAUAAGUAGUGUGAAUUGCAGAAUUCAGUGAAUCAUCGAAUCUUUGAACGCACAUUGCGCCCCUUGGUAUUCCAUGGGGCAUGCCUGUUCGAGCGUCAUUUGUACCUUCAAGCUUUGCUUGGUGUUGGGUGUUUGUCCCGAGGGACUCGCCUUAAAGUAAUUGGCAGCCUGUGUUUGGUUUUGAAGCGCAGCACAAGUCGCGAUUCAAGGCUACACGCCCGCUUCCACAAGCCUUUUUUCACUUUUGACCUCGGAUCAGGUAGGGAUACCCGCUGAACUUAAGCAUAUCAAUAAGCGGAGGA